ensembl:snRNA U5 U5 spliceosomal RNA
UAACCCUGGUCUCUCUUCAGAUUGUAUAACUCUUUUGCCUUUUACUAAAGAUUUUUGUGGAGAGGAACAAUUCUGAGUGUUUACCCACUUUUUUGAAGACUUGUGCUUGCAGGGAA